GAUUAACGCUGGCGGCGUGCCUAACGCAUGCAAGUCGAGCGGCAGCGAGUUUUACACUGAAUUCUGGAAGCUUCUAGUUGAAAGAGAAGAUUUAUUCAAGAAUUUUGUGUAAAAUGUCGGCGAGCGGCGGACGGCUGAGUAACGCGUGGGAACGUACCCCAAAGUGAGGGAUAACGCAUCGAAAGGUGUGCUAAUACCGCAUAUGGUCUUCGGAUUAAAGCCUUCGGGCGCUUUGGGAACGGCCUGCGUAAGAUUAGAUAGUUGGUGGGGUAAUGGCCUACCAAGUCGACGAUCUUUAACUGGUUUGAGAGGAUGAUCAGUCAGACUGGAACUGAGACACGGUCCAGACUCCUACGGGAGGCAGCAGUGAGGAAUCUUCCACAAUGGGCGAAAGCCUGAUGGAGCAACGCCGCGUGCAGGAUGAAGGCCUUCGGGUUGUAAACUGCUUUUAUAAGUGAGGAUUAUGACAGUAACUUAUGAAUAAGGAUCGGCUAACUACGUG
rnacentral:rRNA from 1 species